rnacentral:lncRNA from 1 species
CAUGUGCCCGGGUCCUCCGUUGCUCAAGGGAACGUUUCUUGUUGCCAUCACGUUCACCAUCUGAAUUGUCAUCAACACCAUGCCAGCCUAGCAAGAUGAGGCCGUUCAACGGUGGGUCUUCGUCCAACUCAUCUCCUUCCCAUCCGCUUCCAACUACAAGCACGGCUGCAACUUGCACAAAAACCAGGUUAGUUAUUGACAGUAUUCUAUAAAUUUUUUCUUUCACAUGACAGCAACAUGUUUAAUACAGAUAUGAUAGUAGUAAGAGACCUCUUAUCCACCCGAUCCACCGGAUGCAUGUGUUAGAGGAAGCUAGAUAAUCAGUUGUAUUAUUUAAUCCCACUAAAUCUGAUCCAUCAUCACUUUGAUCAACUUCUUCCAUGUAGUCGAUUGGCACUUGUGAUGCCACGGCAAGGAACUCUUCAUCCAAGUCUGAAACACACACAAUCUUGGUGAACAUCUUGCGAACUAUUUUAUUACACAUACAUUAUUUAAACAUCAUACCCGUUGAUUCAUCUUCAUCUAUCAUGUAAUCAGUAGGCACCCCUGGUGGUACAUCUGAUGACUCGUCGUCUGCAUCUGCACAACCAGGUCAGAAAUUUACUCGGACGGAAUCAAAAUGUUAAUUGCCUUUCGUACAAAUACAAUACAUGAGCUUAGCAAACAAUUACCGUCCUCAUCAAACAUUGGCAGUAGAUUCCUUCCGUCUAUGUUGUUCACAUUCUCACAAAACGGACUGCGACUUGCCGCUGCCUGCUCACUUGCAUUCACAAGCGCUAUUAGGUUGUUGUCAUCUACAAUCACCUCCCCCAAAGUUGGAACACCAUUAUGCUGACGGUGCUCCUGGCUGCUAUGUUCCAGCUCUUCCCAGUUUAUGCGAUCAUCAUCAGCUAUCUGUGCCGUGUUGCCCCCAUUCCCAUCAACCUCGGUCCGAUGAUCUGCACGAUUGAGGAUUUAAAUGCCAAUUUCUAGUUUUUAGCUAGCAUCCCAAAAUAAAUUCGUAAAGUUCAACUGCAUCAUUUUUUUAAAAUAAAUAACCUUCUUUGUACCCAUCCACCCCUAGGUUUGAGAGCAUCAUCCGAGCCUGCUCAAAGAUGCCUGCGUGCAUGCAAGCAACGUGCUUCAUAUUAUGUCAUCCUUCACCCAUGAACUUAACAAGAACGUUAUGUACCUUCAAAAAGUUCUGGAUUGCCAAUUGCUUGUUCUACCACAGCUAGUGCAGCGGCAGAUAAGCUCCGCACACGCUCCCUCCUUUCUGUGACUGAUUGCCCGUCAGCAUGCACAUCAACUGCGGCAGAUGAUGAUCCUCUACGAGAUGGUAGAAUUCCAUGAGUUGCACCGUCUGUCCAAAACAGCGAAACACAAAUUAUAGGCCGAAAUGCAUUACUGCCGUUUGGUUCAUACUUGCAUUUUCAACUUAGUACAUUCAUAAAGUUUCUGUACUCACAUUCAAGGGUUUCUUUCUCUUGAGCCUCGAGUUCUUGUAGCUCGGCUCUGAGGUAGUCCCCCCCUGCUACGAAGCAUUGCAGCACUACACGAGGUCUGAGCGGAGUCUCGUGCCAUGGUUGACAAUGUGUCACCACCGUUGCUAAUCCUAGGCUGUAGCCGUUGCCUGAGCCGGUUCAUGCUACGUGGUGCUGUAAUGUUUCCAAUCAUAUCAUCAGGCUAAAAAAAUUUGACAGUAUAUCUGUCGAAAAAAUGGAAUGUCCGCUAACAUUGUUUGUGUCCACGCACACUUAUAUUUACUUACCUGUAACGCGGGAUCGGCCUACAUCAUCUCCAAUUGUAAUCCCAGUGGGCGCGUUCUGUACUAGGGUGUGUCUUCCUGCAAAAUUUUUUGAGCAAUUUAGUACCGACACAUUACGGACAUCCUUCUCGCUUUGUAUGCUGCUAAUGUAAAUACAACUUCUACAAACCUCUCCUAUCAGCCUUCAUCAAAUUAAGGCCUAGCCGAACACUUGGGUCCAUCGGUUCAUAAUCGCUAUCGCUGUCUGAUGUGUCUGAACUUUCUUCUGCUAUACCUUUUCCUUUGGCAUCAACUUCUCUCGCUGUAGACCUCCGCACUGAAUUUUGGUUUCGCCGUUCUGCUGCUUGCAUUUGUCCACUCAUAUUGAUGGGCUGUUCGUAGCGCGUUGCUCUGCUGUCGCAGCCCUCAAGCUGAUGUGCUGCUCGCAGCGCCUCCAGUUGCUCUGUUUGCAUCAAAAAGACAGUAAAUAGUUUGUGAGCAAGUUUAUUUCACGAACCAAUAUUUUUUUUCUACAACGCAAUACUCAUGUUGCUGCCUCUAUUACCUGGAUGUCGCAGGAAUCCUCCAGGCCCCCCAACCACGGCAUGCCAGACAUUGUUAACCUGGUCAAAUGCAUCAGCAUGCCUUGUCUGCCGGAUAAAAACACCCCAAGUUAGAGUGAAUAUCAGUC